rnacentral:rRNA from 1 species
GAUGAACGCUGGCGGCGUGCUUAACACAUGCAAGUCGAACGGAGUAUGUUAACCGAGACCUUCGGGUCUCACCUGAUAUACUUAGUGGCGGACGGGUGAGUAACGCGUGAGCAACCAACCUUAUGCAGAGGGAUAACAAUUAGAAAUGAUUGCUAAUACCUCAUAAGACCACGCUAUCGCAUGGUGAAGUGGGAAAAACUCCGGUGGCAUAAGACGGGCUCGCGUUCGAUUAGCUAGAUGGUGGGGUAACGGCCUACCAUGGCGACGAUCGAUAGCCGGACUGAGAGGUCGACCGGCCACACUGGGACUGAGACACGGCCCAG